CAGUCGCCGCGGGAAUACGAAGGGGGCUAGCGUUGUUCGGAAUUACUGGGCGUAAAGCGCACGUAGGCGGAUACUUAAGUUAGGGGUGAAAUCCCAGGGCUCAACCCUGGAACUGCCUUUAAUACUGGGUAUCUUGAGUUCGAGAGAGGUAAGUGGAAUUCCGAGUGUAGAGGUGAAAUUCGUAGAUAUUCGGAGGAACACCAGUGGCGAAGGCGGCUUACUGGCUCGAUACUGACGCUGAGGUGCGAAAGCGUGGGGAGCAAACAGGAUUAGAUACCCGCGUAGUCCCUGUCUCUUAUAC
rnacentral:rRNA from 1 species